CCCAAACCGAUGUACAAAACGCCACAUAUACAUUGCAUCGCUUGCUUCUCCUCCACGAACAAACUCCAUACCAGAACCCAUCGAGAUCCGACGCUACCGUUGGAUUUCGUCCUUCCUUCGUCUCAAUGACAAAACUUUCUUCAUCCGCCAUCAUCACAUCUAUCAUCGCCACAACCACUGCAACCCUCUCCUCCUCCUUCCAGGAAUUGAGAGGGAGAAAGUGGGGGGAAACCGGUUUGGAGGAGAAAUUUGCGCCCAGAUUCGAUGGAUUGAGGUUUAUUGAGACCUUGGUCACUGCACACAAGUGAGCCAAGAUGCAGCUUUGUAUCUUAACCAUGUUUUCUGAUCAAGUUUUUGUUUUUAGAUCCCGUUUGUUGGGCGCCGGAUGUGUUGCUAUUUGAGUUUGUUAUCAAAAGAUAUAAAUUCACUAUUUUUUUAUUU